GGGCUUUUUCUUUCUUUUCUCUUCUCUUUCUCCUUCUUUAAAAAAAAAAGUUGAACCACACAUAUUAGGAUUUGCACUGGUACAUGCACGGUAUAAUUUUUUUUUAUUCUGAUCUAGUUGAACUCAAUCCUGAAGUUAAACGGUUGAUCCAUGUUACACUUGAUAAUCAAAUGGCUGAAAAUCCAGAGAACCACCUAGGCAGAUGAAGGAAUAUUUUAUUCCUUCCACC
rnacentral:lncRNA from 1 species